GAUCCCGUUUUAGUACCAUUCAUUCCCUUCACCACGAAUGACUGGCUAUGCUAAUGGGAGAGAGAAAUGCUGUCAUUGUCUGGAGGAGGGGUUUGCCUUUUCCACCUCUCUUAUAUGAAAUGACAGUACAUUGCAUU